rnacentral:rRNA from 1 species
GACGAACGCUGGCGGCGUGGAUUAGGCAUGCAAGUCGAACGGUAUCAUCCUUUCGGGGGUGAGAGAGUGGCGAACUGGUGAGUAACACGUAGGUGAUCUACCCUCAAGAUUGGGACAACCCAGGGAAACUUGGGCUAAUACCGGAUGAAAGCAGCAGUGAUGUUGUUUGAAAGGUGGCGUAAGCUGCCGUUUGGGGAUGAGCCUGCGCUCUAUUAGUUAGUUGGCGGGGUAAAGGCCCACCAAGGCGAUGAUAGAUAGGCGGCCUUAACGGGUGGUCGCCCACACUGGGAUUGAGAUACGGCCCAGACUCCUACGGGAGGCAGCAGUCGAGAAUAGUCUACAAUGGCCGAAAGGCUGAUAGUGCGACGCCGCGUGAACGAAGAAGCCCUUCGGGGUGUAAAGUUCUUUUAUAUGUGAGCAGUGCUUUCUAUGUGAACAGCAUGGGGAGAGAGAUAUUAGCAUAUGAAUAAGCAACGGCUAACUCCGUGCC